rnacentral:lncRNA from 1 species
UGAAAAUCAAAGAAAUAAAAACUAAAAUCAAAAAAUAAAAAAAACGUGGACCACUUGAUCUCCCUCAUUAAUUAAGGUGGCAUAUCAAGUGGUCUGAAACGCGCAAUCAACGAUGGAGUUAAGCCAGCGUGCUACACAAGUGGUAAUCAAAACCAACGCUCGUGAUUAAAACAAUUUAAAUAGAUCAUGUGGCUCUAGACCUUG